rnacentral:tRNA from 1 species
CAAGAUGUAGCUUAAGUAAAGCAUCUGGCCUACACCCAGAAGAUUUCAUAUUAAACUGAACAUCCUGA